rnacentral:lncRNA from 1 species
CAUUAUGUUCAAUGGGUUUUAGGAUCAACCUGCAUAAUGAUUUUGGUUAAGAAAAACUCAGCAUUUAAACAAGCAAAUCAUUAUGCAGAUGAAAAAUGUUGCUUUGACAGCUUUUAUUUUGUUUUUAUGGUUUUUUGUGAUCACUGAUUUCAUAAAGGAAAGCAAAAAGUGAAAACAAAGGAAAAACAAAUGUUUUGACAAUGCAAA